AUUUGAUUAACGUAGUCGUCAAAUACUCUCUGAUUGGCUGUUUAAUACGAGGAGCGAGGAGCGAACAUGCGUAUUAGUGAAUUUGUAGUUUCUCGCCAUUUUCGGCAUCAUCUGUUUGCUUGCGUAUAAAAUGGCGAUAUUUCCUUUUAUUGGUGAAAAGUGGAGAGUUUCUCUUCAUAUUUUUAUUAACUCUAGUCAAUCAAAAGUUUUUUAACAAUUGAGAUAAUUGAUUUUUCGUUAAAUUCGGACAAAAAUUAUUAUUAAUUCGCCAAAGUGAUACUGCAAGAAACUUUACCUCGGUUGUGCACGUUAUAAGCCUCAAGAUAUUUUUUGAUACUAAUUAUAUGAGGAGCUGAGGAUAAUGAAAUGAACGUAAAUUAUAUAUAUUUUAGACUUUAACUGGUUCAAAGGAAAUAAAUUUGCG